GAUGAACGCUGGCGGCGUGCCUAACACAUGCAAGUCGAGCGAUUUACUUCGGUAAAGAGCGGCGGACGGGUGAGUAACGCGUGGGUAACCUGCCCUGUACACACGGAUAACAUACCGAAAGGUAUGCUAAUACGAGAUAAUAUGCUUUUAUCGCAUGGUAGAAGUAUCAAAGCUUUUGCGGUACAGGAUGGACCCGCGUCUGACUAGCUAGUUGGUAAGGUAACGGCUUACCAAGGCGACGAUCAGUAGCCGACCUGAGAGGGUGAUCGGCCACAUUGGAACUGAGACACGGUCCAAACUCCUACGGGUGGCAGCAGUGGGGAAUAUUGCACAAUGGGCGAAAGCCUGAUGCAGCAACGCCGCGUGAGCGAUGAAGGCCUUCGGGUCGUAAAGCUCUGUCCUCAAGGAAGAUAAUGACGGUACUUGAGGAGGAAGCCCCGGCUAACUACGUGCCAGCCGCCGCCGUAACAC
rnacentral:rRNA from 1 species